rnacentral:rRNA from 1 species
GAUGAACGCUGGCGGCGUGCCUAAUACAUGCAAGUCGAGCGAACAGACGAGGAGCUUGCUCCUCUGACGUUAGCGGCGGACGGGUGAGUAACACGUGUAUAACCUACCUAUAAGACUGGGAUAACUUCGGGAAACCGGAGCUAAUACCGGAUAAUAUAUUGAACCGCAUGGUUCAAUAGUGAAAGACGGUUUUGCUGUCACUUAUAGAUGGAUCCGCGCCGCAUUAGCUAGUUGGUAAGGUAACGGCUUACCAAGGCGACGAUGCGUAGCCGACCUGAGAGGGUGAUCGGCCACACUGGAACUGAGACACGGACCAGACUCCUACGGGAGGCAGCAGUAGGGAAUCUGACGCAAUGGGCGAAAGCAUGACGGAGCAACGCGGCGUGAGUGAUGAAGGUCUUCGGAUCGUAAAACUCUGUUAUUAGGGAAAAACAAAUGUGUAAGUAACUAUGCACGUCUUGACGGUACCUAAUCAGAAAGCCACGGCUAACUACGUG